rnacentral:RNase_P_RNA from 1 species
CUCUGAGGGUGAGAUGUUCGCUUCAAUCAUGAAUUGAAGAGGAAAGUCCGGACACCAUAGAGCGGAAUGCCUCGUGAAAACGAGGGUAUACGAGGUUCAAGCCCCGUGUAACGGCCAGUGCAACAGAAAAUAUACCGCCUUCGGGCAAGGGUGAAAAGGUGCGGUAAGGGCGCACCGCUUCUGAGGUAACUCAAAGGGCAGUGUAAACCCCAUUCGGUGCAAGACGGAAUAGGAGACAGAGUGGCUCGCUCGUUAAAAAUCUCGGGUUCGUCGCACUUCCUACGGGAAGAGGUCACCUGUGGCCUAGAGAAAUGAAUAUCGGGAAUAAAAAUUCCCAACAGAAUCCGGCUUACCCCUCAGAGAAUU